CAUGAAAAUUAAAGGGUGGUUUGAAUAGUUUCCUUCCUCCAGUGGAUUCAAGAGGCCUGACUGUCAGAGACUGAUUAAAUCCAUGUCCGUCCCACCAAAGCCAGCAUCUGCUAAGCUACAAUUUGAGGCCGAUGUAUUAUUAUUCCUAGUUAGCCUUAAAAAACAAGAGCAAACUCGUGAGCCCCUGAAUAAUCAGUAACACAUAAUGUGUAAUCCCGUUUCUACUGUAGUGUAAUAAAUAACUUCCAAAAUCGGCCCAAUUGUGAAACCGAUAAAUCAUCUGACAUAUGGGGCCAAUUAUCAACAAACUCCUUCCCUCAGCCUGUGUGCAUCAAUCUGAAAAGGUCAAUCAGAGAGGACACAUCGUUCCUUUAAAUUUGACUCAAAUGAAUGAAACGGACAAAAAACAGAUCCAUCAGCCUCUCUCCCAAUUUCAUUGCCGACUGUUUUUGUGUUUAUCUCUAUUAAUUAAAGUGAGAAUAAGAGACGUGUUUGGUGCAAACACACUCACACCCUUUCCCCGCUCUGACAGCAGGAAAUGCAUUCCAGGUAUCUUAGCUUGAAGUGUUUACCAUGGCCUGACACAGCAUCACAAAUGUCCUUCUCCGAUGCCAACAUCAGCACGAGGUAGGGCCCCAAACAAGAGCCCAAGGGAGUGGCAAGUAUAUUUCGUUUAUCAGCACUGCAAAAAUGAAAAGGUUCCUUCACUACGAACACCUCUUAUUGAAUGGAGAAGUUGGAGGAGAGGAAUAUGACGGAACAGAGGCUGCUUCUCCUAACGACACACAUGGAUUCCUGAGCCGUAAACACAAAAAACAAAAAGGGCUGUGAUCAACAAGUGUGGUCCGGCUGCCAGAACACGACUGCAGUGUGUAAAAACUAUUCUGGAAAAACCUGCGGCUUUAAAGGAGAGCAGAGUAGAAAAGAGUGGUGUCACGCAAUGAGGGAUGUGUUUAUGGGUUUUGGGACUGUAUGUAUGUUUUAGUGAUUAUUGCAAUGCAAGAGUUGUGUCAAGGAACGUAAUCAAAGCAGCAGACAGCCAGAGGAGACAUUUCUGAAGACUGAGGGGCGGCUCUGCUCCUCCGCUCCAAAUCGAGGCUCAUAACCUCACCGCUCUCCUCCAUAAAGGCCCCUGUGUGGUUUCCGUCCUUUUGUCCUAAUCCAAGCCAGAGAUGUGAUUCAUGAAAAGCCCGAGUGUUUCAUUUCAAUGGAGCUACGUAAUAAAAAUGGUAACCUCC